GCUUUUUUCCACUCCGCUAAACUGUCAUCUCAAACAAAAACAAAUGGAUCAUACAACUGCUAUGAAUACAUUCGAUUCGUUUGCUUCCAUCAAUCGGUAAGUGAGAAAGAUGAUUUCUCCCAUCACCACAGUGCGGAUUUCCACUUCUAUCACAGCAGCCAACAACAUCCGUUUUCCUGCAUCAGUAACCUCCAACCCCUGUUGGCAAUGCCAGGGGACAGCAUCAACAGCAGCAGCAGCAGAAUUUGACCAUGGUAUGGUAUUGCGAAGAACUUUCCCCAUUAGAGGUUCCGUGCUUCGCGCACAUUCAAAAAUCCUCUUCAGACACGAAAACUCAACGACAAGGAGGUAUUUAUCAACUUGCUCAGCUGAAUUACCACCCCGGAGGAACCCGAAUGCACUGAUUCCGUUGUAUAGUAGAAUGAAAAUAGGCGAGGUAAGCAAAGCAAACGUAUUCGCAUGAUAUUUUAAUGUUCGCAUUUUUAUCCGGAUCAUACAACUGCUAUGAAUACAUUCCACUCAAUCAAUCGGCGAAUGAGAAAGAUGAUUUCCCUUAUCACCACAUUGCUUAUUUCCACUUCUGGCACACCAGCCAACAGCAUCAGCUUUCCCGCAGCAGUAUCCUUUAAGUCCAGGGUGCUAUUCCGGGGAACAGCAUCAACAGCAACGCAGCAGGACCUGGCCAUCGAUAGUAUUUCGAGCAAUUUUCCCCAUCGGAGAUCCCGUGCUUCACGCACAUUGAAGAAUCCUCCUCAGCCACAUAUCUGUGUCAUCAAGGGCAAGGAGGUAUUCAUCAAUGUACUCA